GUGGAGAAUGAGUCUAGUGCCAAGAAAGGCAAGAAACCUCUUGUGAAGGACCCCAAGUUUCAAGUUCCUUCACCAUAUGCUAGAAUGCCUUAUCCUAGGAUGAAGAGGGUCAAGAACCAAGACCUUGAAGUUUGUGGAAUGGUAUCUGAAUGUUUCAAAGUGGAAGUGCUAGAGGAAGUGGUAAAAGAUGAUGAAGAAGAAGAGUGGGAUCAUGAGAUUGAAAUUUUUCUUCAAAACUUGGAUAACCCCCUAGAAGAGGAGAAAGAGCCAAAGGCGAUAAAAAAGCCUCCGGAAUUAAAAGAACUCCCUCCUAAAUGGAAGUAUGUGUUUUUGGGUGGCGACUCUAGGAAACCCAUGAUCAUAAGUAAUUUGCUCAC
rnacentral:lncRNA from 1 species